rnacentral:lncRNA from 1 species
UUCUCCCCAAAUGCCAUUUUGAUUUUUCCUUCUUCUGUAGCUGAUAAAGAGCUCGUUGUUGCUUCAUAUGGUUAGUUAAAAUUAUGUUUUGAUCAUUUGUAGAUCCAUUUAAACAGGUUUCUUUGCUAAUCGAUUCGAGUGAUGUAGGAAUUUUUUUUUCGAAUUUGGUUGAUUAAGAAGUUUUGGUUUAGUUUUGAUUUUUUUUAGCAAAAAAGUGUUGAAUGGUGGGAUAAUCAUUAUUUGAAGAGUUAUUUUGGAAUUUUGAUUCGAACAAUGACUUGUUUCUGUCCGUAGACCCGUGGUCUAUGAAAUUGACCCGUGGUCUACAAAAUUAGAAUACCCUAGACUGAAAUCAAUUUUUAGACGUAUGGAAUUCAUUUGAAAUAUGGUUGCUGAAAUAGUGGAAAUUGAAAGAUUAAUAGCUAAUUAGUUUGAUAAGGUGCACUAGUUUAAUUUUUAGCAAUUGUUGUGUUUUGAUACUGCAUGUUGGAUUUUGGUUCCGUUAUUGAUGUGUGUAGUGAACUUUUUGAUGGUGGAAGAGUUAUUUUGGCAUUUUGAUUCGAAUAGUGACCUUUUUCUGUUCGUAGACCCGUGAUCUAUGAAAUGAGAAUGUCCUAGAUUGAAAUCAAUUUUUAGAUGUAUGAAAUUCUUUUAAAAUAUGAUGGCUGAAAUAGUAAAAAUUAAAAGAUUAAUAGCUAAUUAGUUUGAUAAGGUGCACUAGUUUAAUUUUGAUACUGCAUGUUGUAUUUUGGUGGGGUAUUUCUUUGUUUUUUGAAGGAUUUUCAUUUGAACAUUGACUUAUUUUUGUUGUUAGACUUGUGGUCUAUGAACUAAAAAUCAAAGAUUUGUUCUGCAGGUGUAGAUUGUGUUGAAAAUGAGUAAAAAAAUCAUCCAUCCUGAGGAAGAAAAGGAAGGUGAGAAAAAGCAGUUGUUGAAGGUGAAGAAAAAAAUGAAGCUCAAGAAGAAAAAUAAGUUGAGAAAGAAGCAGCAGCAGCAGCUGCAGAUGCUGAAAAAGGAGGAAAUGAAGCUGAAGAUGUAAUGGAAGAAAUGACAGACAAAGAAGGAGGAGAACACAAAGAAGUU